ACUAGGAUUAGGCAAUGGUUAUGGUUAUGGUUAUGAUUAGGGUUAAGGUUAGGGUUAGGUGCCUUAAAGUCAACGGUUGCAGCGCUGCCUGGAAGGAGACGUUUGGGGC